UGCCCAGCCUGUGUGUGUGGCUGCAUUCAGAGGCGGGGACACGGCAGUCCUCGCCUUAGAGUGAGGUGAGGGAUGCGGAGACCCAGGGAGCGGCCACGGUGGGGGCUUCUGCUGAGGGAGCGGGGAUGCUCACCGUCCUCGCCAGGAUGGGGAUGCCAGGAUUCAGGCGUCUGCGGAGGGUCUCCUGGCUGAGGGCUUCCCGGGAGUAGCGGGGGUAGGGAGAGACCCCGCAAGUGUAACCCACCACCGGCCCUGACCCCCUGAAGACCUCACACUUCCGGCCAGGCUUGAAAUACCUGGGUGCAAGUCUGUGCCUUUCUCUGUCAGCCGCCUCCGCUGCCCCUUGGUCCGACCCUGAGCGGGCCCGUCCCCCCGGCCCUCCCUCGUGCUGUGUCCCCAAGGCGCUCUCCCGGCACCAGGACCCCCAGCUCCUGACAGUGAUUUCUCAAGGGCUACUUUUAAAUUACUUUUCCACUGAAACUUUGCGGCUGGUUUCAUCAGGUAGAGGCAGAGAAACCCGAAGCCGGAAGUUGUCAUUGAAAUGCAAAUGACGGAGCCUGUGGCACAUCCAAUCAACUCUGUCGCUAAUAGGAAAUGGAAAUGGGGCCACAAGGAGAAAGCAGGACUCCAGCCUCCUUCCGGGCUUCCGGAUUCCGCUCUGGCCACUCUGCCCAAUCCCCAGGCCACGGGGUCGACAGGUUCCAGCCUGGCUGCCGGAGGGGGGGCCCCUCCCCGAGAGCUCAGCCCAUGCCUGCCCCCCUCAGCGGCGCCCCCCCCCCCAGACUCCGAGCCAGGUCUGGCCCCGGCGCUGGGGCAAAGCUCAGGAGCCCGGGAAGCAGCCUUCUGCUCAGAUCCCUCGGGGGUGGGUCCGGGGCCCGGGGGGCCACACGGAGGCGGGGAGGCAGGCGCAGCCCCGAAGGGGGGCCCUCUCCCUGUCUCCUGUGACCUGCAUCAGACCCCAACAGGCCUGUCUGCUCAGUUCUCUCCAGAGCCCCACGCUGUGUGCCUGCCCCACGGACCCAGCCCCGACCUGCUCCAGACCCCCUGUCCCCAGGCUCCCGCGGCCCCUCCCAGGCCCCUGACCAACCAUCCCGGCCACUUCCAGGGUCCAGGAGCCCCCUGCCGUCUCUCCCCGUGCAGAGCGGGACACCAGGUCACUGCUUGCAACCCUGCCCCCUACGGUCCUCCCUGUGCCCAUCGGGGACCCCUCCGGGACCCAGGCCCGUGUUUUCCUCCGUCAUCAGCUAAUCAUCGAGGACCCACCACCACGAUGCCCCCAGUCUGAGUUGAGGGAGUGUUGUCGAGCUGACGGAGGCUAACGGGUCUGGGCCACCCAUCCGUGUGACCUACGGGCGCCCUCCGGCUCUCGCAGGCCCGCCUGUAACUCCCAGUGUGGUGUCUCCUGGGUGCCAGGGCCACCAGGGUGACUUUACAAACAGGGAAGUUCCCCACCCGCGAGGCGUGUGCUGCCCAGGUGCCCCCGUGGAGCCUGCCGGAGACCCCCCUGGCCACGGACGGCAUCCACCGCGCGUACCUCGGCCGAGCCACCCGGCCCACGUGCGGGACGGCCGGCCCCGCAGCUGUCGCCCUGGCCCACAGACGACUUCCCAGGAGACCUCCAGGGAACCCGUGAGCGGGCAACGCCAGCGGUAGCGUGCGGCCCAGGCGCGCGCCAGGAGCUGGGGCUCUAACCUCACGGCGGAACGCACGUCCCUGGGCCUGCCGUCGGGAGGGCUUGUGCCCGGAUGCACUUGUCCCGGCCCCCCUAAGCCUCACUGACCAAGGCAAUGUCCGGUGCCCCUGAGAUCGAGGCCCACCCGGGCCCUUUAUCCGACAGACAGGCUCUCCCCGCCGACCAGCCUGGGGAGGCUCCCGCCUGCACGCGGCGCCACCGGGGAGGGCAGCGCCCAGUGACGAGCGCGCCCGGGCCGGGCGGGUGGUGGGCACCUCAGCCACUGCGCCCACCCGGCCAGCCCCGCCUGGUGCCUCAGCAGCCCCCGCAGGGGAGGGGUCAGCGGCUCUCCGACGGGCAGUGACUGGCCCCAGGUCACGCAGCCAGGAGAAGGGGGACGGGGGCGCCCCGGCCCUCUGGCCCCAGGGCCAGCUCUUUCUAACGUUCCGCACCAGACGUCCAGGCAGCGAUGCAGCCUUGGCUGCGAGGGAGGUGCCAGCGGGCCCGCUACAAACCUUCACCCUGAGCUGCCUCCUCAGGCUCCCGUGCGGGGCAGUCUCCCUGCAAAGCCCAAGUCCUCGUCAGCCAGGGGGGCCAACCCUGGCUCCUACCCACCGGGCUCGGCGAAGGUCGACGGGGGCUCAGCUACGGGAGGGCUCAGCGAGGACGCGCCACGAAGGUGCCCACACACGAGUGACGCGGAAGGCAGAUCACGUGUGGAGACAUCGGGGCACGUGUCACGGGUGUGAAUACUCAGCCCCGGGGCCAGCCAGGGCCACGUGCCUGCAGUGGGUUCUCAGGGCCCCAAGACCGAGGACCAGAAGCGAGCCAGCGGCACCCCCAGGGCAGGAGCCAGGCCCACACCGGAUGGCUCUGAGCCGGAAGCCCGCGCCCUGGGGCCGUCGGUGCCCCCACAGAACACAGCCCCUCGGCAGGCUGGGCCAGCGGCGAGGCCCCCCCACCCCCGCCCCUCCGCUCGGUGCCCCCGCCUCUGCAGCCAGCCCCGAGACCUUGCCGGAAAGCCAGCUGUGACAGGCAGAUUUCCACGGCCCCUAUCUCGGUUAUGGCUUAUGUACCGCCCCCCAGGCAGCUGGCUCGAGGGAGGGACCGGCUUUAUAAAUAAAAUUUAUCAUCGUAAUUAUG